GCUAUAGCUCAGUGGUAGAGCAGAUGUUUUGAAAGCAGAAAGGUCUUGGUUCAAUCCCCAGAAUCUCCA